GCAAGAACCGAAAGUGGCUUGAGAGUGUGGAGGAAAGCUCGAGCAUGGUGAGUGAAGAUAGAUCGUGAGUGUUUUUCGAUGGUAAAUGCUAGUAAGAAGAUAAAAUGGGAAUGAAUUAGGGAUAUGAUAGGCUUUGAAGAUUAGGGAUGUUGAGAGAACCGUCGAGAGAAAAAAAGUGAGCGCUGAACGUCUGAGAGAGAGUGUGUGUUAGGGUGAACGUCUGAACUUAAACAGAAGCCAAUUUUAGGGGGGAAAAUUUAGGGGUUUCGAGGGGAAUUUUGGGAUAAAACCGCGUAAAAUGAAAUUAUUUUUGCGGCGUUUUUAUAACAAACGCCGCUAUUGACUAUCUAUUGCGGCGUUUCAAAAAAUUAUUUCAUUUUGAACAAAAUGACGCCGUUUUACUAUGCAGAAAAUUUUUUAUUUUGUUUUUUAUAAAUUAAUUUAUUUUUUG
rnacentral:lncRNA from 1 species